rnacentral:lncRNA from 1 species
CUUCGUGUAGUGACUGCAGGCUGCCGUUCGGAGAGAUGGCGGCAACUCUGACGGCAACAUCUGAGUAGCUGGUGGUGCCAUAUGCGGCUCACUGACGGCCUGAUUAACAAAAUAAACAAAAAAAAGGGAGAGGAAGGGUCAUCGGAUCCCGCCUUGGCCAGCAUUUUUCCCUUGCUUUUUGAUGGCUACCGACGGCCAGUGGCCCACCGAUUCACUGAUUUUGGGGCCGCUGUUGGCUUGAUUUUGUGGAGGAGAACAUCGGUUUU